UGUGAGCUGCUGAUAUUCUCUCUCUUAACAGGACUGAUGGUGAGAUCAUCUAGCAGGGCUUAGGUCUUCCACACAGCUGACGGGAGGUACAACAGAGUCACAAGAGACGCGGCGUAAACAGUCUGGGCCUCUGCAUCUCAGUAUGCGGGGCUCAAUGUCAGAUGAGUCUCAUCUCGUAAGGCAUUAGCAGUGAUCCAGGAUGUGUCGGCAUAUCUGCUGUCGAGCGGUC